rnacentral:SRP_RNA from 1 species
GCCACUCGUGGUGGCACGUGGCUGUAGUCCCAGCUACUCUGGAGGCUGAGGUGGGAGGAUCGCUUGAACCCAGGAGUUCUGGGCUGUAGUGCACUAUGCCGAUUGGGUGUCCGCACUAAGUUAGGCAUCAAUAUGGUGACCUCCUGGGAGCGGGGGACCACCAGGUCGCCUAAGGAGGGGUGAACCGGCCCAGGUCAGAAACGGAGCAGGUCAGAACUCCCGUGCUGAUCAGUAGUGGGAUCGCGCCUGUGAAUAGCCACUGCACUCCAGCCUGGGCAACAUAGCGAGACCCUGUCUCU